UACGGGGGGAGCAAGCGUUGUUCGGAUUUACUGGGCGUAAAGGGCGCGUAGGCGGCCACCGCAAGUCAAUUGUGAAAUCUCCGGGCUUAACUCGGAAAGGUCAACUGAUACUGCGGGGCUAGAGUGCGGAAGGGGCAACUGGAAUUCUCGGUGUAGCGGUGAAAUGCGCAGAUAUCAGGAGGAACACCGGUGGCGAAGGCGGGUCUCUGGGCCGAUACUGACGCUGAGGAGCGAAAGCGUGGGGAGCGAACAGG
rnacentral:rRNA from 1 species